GACGAACGCUGGCGGCGUGCCUAAUACAUGCAAGUCGAACGCAGUGGGGACGGGUUCGUAACACGUGGGUAACCUCCCAUCAGAGGGGAUAACACUUGGAAACACGUGCUAAACCGAUACUGAUUGAUAGACCCGCGGUGCAUUAGCUAGUUGUUGAGGUAACGGCUCACCAAGGCCACGAUGCAUAGCCGACCGUAGAGGGUGAUCGGCCACACUGGAACUGAGACACGGCCCAGACUCCUACGGGAGGCAGCAGUAGGGAAUCUUCGGCAAUGGACGAAAGUCUGACCGAGCAACGCCGCGUGAGUGAAGAAGGUUUUCGGAUCGUAAAACUCUGUUGUUAAAGAAGCGGUAUCUAACCAGAAAGCCACGGCUAACUACGUGCCAGCAGCCGCGGUAAUUC
rnacentral:rRNA from 1 species